CUUCUGGUAAACCUACAUCUAUUUAUUUAU
rnacentral:piRNA from 1 species